rnacentral:rRNA from 1 species
CCUACGGGGGGCAGCAGUGAGGAAUAUUGGUCAAUGGACGAGAGUCUGAACCAGCCAAGUAGCGUGAAGGAUGACUGCCCUAUGGGUUGUAAACUUCUUUUAUAUGGGAAUAAAAUGUUCCACGUGUGGGAUUUUGUAUGUACCAUAUGAAUAAGGAACGGCUAACUCCGUGCCAGCAGCCGCGGUAAUACGGAGGAUCCGAGCGUUAUCCGGAUUUAUUGGGUUUAAAGGGAGCGUAGGUGGAUUGUUAAGGCAGUUGUGAAAGUUUGCGGCUCAACCGUAAAAUUGCAGUUGAAACUGGCAGUCUUGAGUACAGUAGAGGUGGGCGGAAUUCGUGGUGUAGCGGUGAAAUGCUUAGAUAUCACGAAGAACUCCGAUUGCGAAGGCAGUUCACUGGACUGCAACUGACACUGAGGCUCGAAAGUGUGGGUAUCAAACAGGAUUAGAUACCCUGGUAGUC